UGCAGUUGCUGUUGGAGUUGGAGUGUGUUGGAGCUGAUUGUUAGGAGUGAGAGCUUGGACAGAGGGUAGCAGAGAGGUUGUUCAGCGGUUUGUGUGAGAUUUGAUUGGUGAAUGUGUGGAGACUGUGGAACCAGCAGCAUAGUGGGGCAGUACUUUAAAAGUGGGGAGUGUUAAAAGUGUGAAAGAAACCUUGAGUGUGAAAGGUGCCCAGAGGUGAAAUCUCCUAGUAACAGACAAGAACAUCUGGGAGAAUCCACUAAGUCUACAAACCAAGUUUUAUUUACCUCUGUCCUAGUUAUCUCACCUCCCCAACUGUUACUGUGGUGAUCAGCCUUCCCCUCCCCCCAAAGAGUGAACCAGAAGUGAACCCUGUCCUGUCUGUCAGUGACCUCUAGAGAUCGGCCAAUCAACACACAGUGGGCGGCUCCUGGAGGACCUGAAGGCAGGAAGUGAAGGGGGUCUUUGUGCUCAGUUGGAGCCAGGCAGGGUGAACAACAGGUUGUUUGGCCUGGCAGUUGUGGCAACCAGGGGCUCUGCAGGGGCCUGAAGUCCAUACCAUGGAUUUAGUGAGUUCAGGAGGGAAGCCAGGGCUUUGGCUUCGGGGGAAGGGUUUAGCCAGGGAACCAUGUGUUAAGGAGCCUGUGUUAGAUUUCUUUUUAUUUUGUGCUUUUGCAAAUCCUUAAAAUUGGUUUAUUGUGUUUUUACCUGUAACGUAACAAAGAGGAACUGAGCCUGAGCCCUUUUAUCCAAUCAGGGCUAUGUAGAAGUCUGUGUAAAGGUUUUGCUUCAUUUCAACACUGAACAUAUAUGCCUAUCUUGUGCUCACAAGGCUACAUAACCAAGGAGUUGAGUAAUGAGAGCAGGGUAAUAAGUAAUCAAAUGGAUCAUACGGUGGCAGCAAAAGAGAGUAAAGACUGAAUAAAUUCCCAGAACCUGGAGACUAAGUUGCUGUAAAAAAAAUUAUAUAAAAACAACUCAACUCCCUGGACUUGGCAAGGGUGUCAGGGUGGGUUCCUGACAGCAUGUAGUAAUAAAAAUCCAUGUAAUGAGAUAUUGAUAGCCAUCAUUGUUUCCCUCAUCUCUGUCCUUUAGUUGGCAUGGAGAGAAAGGGUCUAAUUAGCACCUUCUUUGCUUGCAUUUCUCUUUCAUUGCUGGAGCAAUGUCAGAGUGUCUCCCUCCCUUCUGACAAAUUACAAUGUAACUAUAAUCUGGGUCCAGUUUGCACAUUAAAGAUGUCAUGUAAAUUAUUAAUGACAAUCAUCUGUAAGAUUGAAUUGUACUUUUCAUCUUCAGGGCAGUAAAUACAAUACAAUGCA